GGCGGCGAACCCACAGUGCGCCAGCAGCCGCGCCACACGAGCAAUGGCUGCAUCAACAACAAAGAUGCGGCUGCUACAGUUAUUGUUGGCGUUCCUGAUGUCAUCUAUACCAAGCACAUCGGGUCUCCUUGGAAUGGACCAGCCUCGGAUACAGACAGUGAACGGACACCUGAAGCUUGUUUCGGGACUGCACGGUGACAUCGUCCUGCAGACUGCCGGCAGAGGCUCCGUCAUCAUCAACGGCCAGAACAUGAUGCGGGUGCUGCAACUGG